GGCCGCCAGCUCCCCAGAGGGCCGCAUCCGGCCUGCCGCAAGUACACCUAAGCUGCCGCCUCCCCGGGGGUCGCAAUUGGAAGUGGAUGACCAAGGAGAAGGUGCACGGUGGGGGCCAGGCGCUUAAGUGGGAGGCGGAGCUCGCCUCCCCCAACGACGACGGCUUCGAUCUCAAGUGAAAGUGGGAGGCCAAGUCCAAGCCCGUCGCUGCCGGCAAGGCUAAAACCAAGUGGGGCACCGAGGAAGCCAGCAAGGAUGAGAAGAGGCCGGCGAGGAAGUGCGUCUAGAGCAAGGAGAUCCCCGCUGGCUGAGACGUCCAGAUCGAAGUACUUAGCAGAAAAGAUGAGAUUUUUGUGGGGGUUUGGGCUUGAUUUGAAUGAAAUGUAGGGUUUUCAGUACUCCAGUAGCAUACUCCGGUACUUCUUUUAACUAUAUCUGAUUAUAGAUAUUUUAUAUAGUACUCCCUCCGUUCCUAAAUAUUUGUCUUUCUAGAGAUUUCAACAAGUGACUACAUACGAGGCAAAAUGAGUGAAUCUACACUCUGAAAUAAGUCUACAUACAUCCGCAUGUUGUGUCCAUUUGAAAUGGCUAGAAAGACAAAUACUUCGGAACGGAGGGAGUAUCAUAUACUAUUAAGAAACAAUUUUGCUUUUUGCUUGACAUUGAUGUGGUGGUGUUUUGUCAUAUUUUUAUACCAUGUCUUCAGGAUUUUCAGUUCUUUUGCCGUACAUAACAUGUCAUAGCCCUUCAGGUUUUUGGGUUGUUCUUCUGCCAUUCCAUCUAUGUGUGUGUAUGUUCUUGAAAACCAUUAGGAUUUGCUUUUGGUAUAUCAUGUGACAUUUUCUAUGACAUGUUCAAAGUGAUGUAAUUAAUUAACCAAACUAUUACUCCUAUUAGUGCUUAGUUCCUCCUAUACUUUCUUUGAGAAAUUCUAAUGAUGGAAUCAAUGGUCUAUAUUUCCUUCAAUCUGUGGAAUAUAUAUGAUGUAACCAGUAGUGGACUGGGUGGGUGUUGCUAUCGUGCUUUGCUAUUCAGGUAACAGCCUGAAUCAAAUAUGAAUCGUGUUCUACCAAGUUGGAUAUAAUGUCACUGCAUUGUAAAUAAGGUUAUUAUAUGCUGCAAUUCUUCAUUGCUUUUGGUAUGAUGUCAAUCUAUCAAAUUUGAAGCGUGACCUACUGUGUUGGAUGGUUGCUGGGUUGGAUAUGACCGCACCCGGCAGGGGUGCGGGGUGCGGCAAGCCGCACUUUCUAUCUAGUCAAGAUGAGUAUACAAUACAAUGGGACAUCUAGAAAUGCCUUCUUUUCCGUUUCUUGGUCGGAUUGCAUUCCCAUCUACGUAUGUCAGACAAAAACAUCAUUUAAAUAUUGAACAUUGUUUAUCCAAACGUUGUCAAAUUAAUUUCAAGACAACUGAAGUCUCGUAUUCAGGUGGGNNNNNNNNNNNNNNNNNNNNNNNNNNNNNNNNNNNNNNNNNNNNNNNNNNNNNNNNNNNNNNNNNNNNNNNNNNNNNNNNNNNNNNNNNNNNNNNNNNNNNNNNNNNNNNNNNNNNNNNNNNNNNNNNNNNNNNNNNNNNNNNNNNNNNNNNNNNNNNNNNNNNNNNNNNNNNNNNNNNNNNNNNNNNNNNNNNNNNNNNNNNNNNNNNNNNNNNNNNNNNNNNNNNNNNNNNNNNNNNNNNNNNNNNNNNNNNNNNNNNNNNNNNNNNNNNNNNNNNNNNNNNNNNNNNNNNNNNNNNNNAAAACACCAAAGUUACCACACCUCACUUCGGCUAAGGGCAUCUUCAAGGGCGGCCGCAAAUCGCCGGCAUCCGGCUGGACCCUUUCUCCUAUACUAAUAUAUAAUACAAAUAUAAAAUAUAUGUUUCAUAAAAAGUAUAAAAUAUACCCUUGUCUGCUCUGCUUUUAUUACAUGAUGUUUUUGUCACAAUUAUUUUUCAAAAUCUCUACUGCAAAGUACUCCCUCCGUCCUUUGAAGAGUCAAAAGAAUUAAUGUUUGACCAUAUUUAUACGAUAAUACACCAACAUUUAUGCCAUCAAAUUAGUAGCAUUAGAUUAAUGAUAAAAUAUAUUUUUAUCAUAUACCUAUUUGGUUUCACAAACAUUGAAAUAUUUUUGUACAAACUCGGUCAAACUUUAAGAUAGUUUGACUCUCCAACAAAGUUGAAAGCACACUUUUUGAAGGACGGCCGGAGUAUAGUGGACUUUUUCUUCUAUAUAUAUAGCCUAUAAUAUAAUAAAAAACAAAAUAGACAACGCAUCAAUAAUUUUUUGAUAAGAAUGCGUCAAUAAAUAUAGAAUAUACAUAAUACACCAUACAUCUACUUGUAAUUAUCCCUUCUUGGUCUAGUGUUGAUGAGUUCCGAGAUCUGUGCACCCUAAUAGUUGUAUCCCAAAUGCUUAGUAGUGUAGCUGCACUAAUUAGCCUUCCUGAGCGCACAAAGUACUUGAUAAAAAACUCACUUAGCACGGGUGCAUUCUGGCAAACCUUCCAUAAAGGGUAAUUAGCAUCAUGUGUCAUCAUUACACUAAAAAAGGAAAGUAUCAGGUCCUCAUCCUUCGAAUGCUUCCUACUUUGCACAAAUCAGUCAAGAAAGAAAAAGUACGUGCAUUUGUUUGGGUUAUAUAAAAUGUAAAAAGCCAUAACUUUUUGUUUGAGUAUCGGAAUUUAGAUUCGAUUUCAUCGGUGGGUUUCUUGCAACGAGUUUUUUAAAACUAGAUCCCAUACGGGUAUGUUCGACGAACUUUUUUUAGAGCAAUUUUGAGUGCUGAAUCGACAACUUUAGUGCUAUAAGAAAGCAACUUCUUCUUAGUUUGCCUACUAUGAUUACCUAUCAACGAGAAGUACUUAGAAGUUGCCUCCCAUGACUAUCAUGUUCACUAAAUUCACAUAUAAGGUUUCUACCACACCAUCGAGUAUGCUAAAACUAUGUUUCAGAGUAUACACAACAUGAGCUACGCCGACAGACAACUUCUCCUAGUAUCAUAGCCAACUAAUUAGCAAUGACAUGCAACUGGGCAUCAUUGUUAGGUAACUAAUUAUAAUUGUCAUGAUUUGUUUUGAAAAGGUUUUUGGAAAACAAAAUUGUAAUGCAGUUGCUUGGUUUAGUUGGGACAGUUGCUUUGUUUUUUGUUAGAACAAAUUUUCAUUUUGUGUUUUCUUUGUAAUUGAGUUGUUUUGGAUUUUUGCUAGAAUAGAUAAGUUGCAUGGGAAGGGGGGGUCAGAUAGUUGUUCACAAAGGCUAUUCAAGUUGGUCAAACGUUUUUCCUGCCUAAAGUAGAGAAUCCAAGUAGUAAUGCUAGGGACAAUUGCUUGGUUUUGCUACGAUAAUUUUCCCAUACUUGUUUGUUAGUAAUGCGGUUGCUUGGAUUGGAUAGGGCAGUUCCUUGGUUUUGUAGGAGAGUCACUCGGUUUUGCUAGAACAAUUUUGCAUUGUGGUUUGGUAGUACAUCUGCUUGGUUUUGCUAGAAACAGUUUUGCAUUGUGUUUUGGUAAUAUCCGGUAUUACCCGAUAUUCACCGAAUCCCUUCCGGUGACCCCGAAACGCUUCCGGAUCCUGUCAGAACUAUUCUGAAUAUUAAUGAAACAAUUCCACAAAUAUAUUCUCAUUCACUCCCAUCCAACUAACACUCAACAGAUCAUGAUUACCUUAAACUUGUGAUCCCGUAGGUUCGGUAACUCAUAGACAUGGACGAAACCGUUCGUUCAAUGACCGAAAACGGAAACGUGGACGUCCAUAUCGGUCCCUAUGAGCACACGAGUGAUAUUCGAGUGAACUGUGGUUAUCAUGUGAUGUUCCCUUUACUUCGCGAUACUUCGCAAAACUUGAGAUGUGUCGGUAUCCUCCUGAGUCAUCACAUGCUCACUAUACUGUUAUUCUUGUUACUAAUUUUGUUCUUCUUUCUCGUUAUGCUCACUAUGGCCAUCAAGAAAGAUCUUGCGAUUGAUGAUGGAAAUUCCUUCGAGCUUAGUAUGAAACGACCGAAGAAAUGCAGAGAAAACAAUCAAUCGAGUGUGGCUAAAUAAUAUGCCAUUCAUUUACUGGAAAGGUUGUAAAAAUCUAUUCUGAAUCACAUAAAAACUCUUAGGCUGCAUGUCUCAUGGAAUUUCCCUUGUUUCCCUGUCUGAUGCAGAUCUGUCUCUUGGCAAACUACCAACCAAGAGCCAAAAUUGACCGGGCAACAACACAUGCCACAAAAUAAUCUACUUCCUCCAUCUCAUAAUAUAAGAGUAUUUUCAACACUAGUGUAGUGCAGAAAAUGCUCUUAUAUUAUGGGACAGAGGGACUAGUUAAUUUUGAAACCAAACUAUUGGGAUAAAAUAGAUUGUUUUUUUAGGGUUAAAUAAAUGGGUCUGACUAUGCUAUCUAGAUGUGAGAUAAUACCUCACAUCUAGGUACAUCUAAGAUGAUGUCAUGUGUUUUGUAAUCCUCCCUACUGGCCCUUUUUGUUGUUUGUUUGUUUUUGGUCUUUUUCGCUUUUGCUUGAUGUCGGGUUGAGCACAUCGGGCUGCCUGGCCAGCGCUGGCUAGCUCGGCUCCCUCGCUGGCCUUGGCUUCAUUGAUGAUGUACAAGUCUGCAUGCAAUGAAAAAGACGCCCUAUUGUUAAUAACGCCUAUCCUUCAGUAUUUUUGCAAGGGAACCACUAGAGAUCAGACUAUUGAUCCCUUGCUUCCCAUCAGACCAUUGGAUGACCUGUUUGGGGAACGUAGUAAUUUCAAAAAAAAUCCUACGCACACACAAGAUCAUGGUGAUGUAUAGCAACGAGAGGGGAGAGUGUUGUCCACGUACCCUCGUAGACCGAAAGCGGAAGCGUUAGCACAACGCGGUGAUGUAGUCGUACGUCUUCACGAUCCGACUGAUCCAAGUACCGAACGUACGGCACCUCCGAGUUCAGCACACGUUCAGCUCGAUGACGUUCCACGAACUCCGAUCCAGCAGAGCUUUGCGGGAGGGUUCCGUCAGCACGAUGACGUGAUGACGGUGUUGAUGAUGCUACUGACGCAGGGCUUUGCCUAAGCACCGCUACAAUAUUACCGAGGUGGAAUAUGGUGGAGGGGGGCACCGCACACGGCUAAGAGAUCAAGAGAUCAAUGUUGUGCCUCAAGGUGCCUCCCUGCCCCCAUAUAUAAAGGAUCAAGGGGGGGGGGGCCGGCCAGGGGAGGGCACGCCAGGGAGGAGUCCUACUCCCACCGGGAGUAGGACUCCCUCCUUUUCCUAGUUGGAGUAGGAGGGGGAAGGAAGGGAGAGAUGAGAGGAAGGAAAGGGGGCGCCGCCCCCCUCCUUGUCCUAUUCGGACUAGAGGAGGAGGGGGCGCGCGGCCUGCCCUGGCCGCCCCUCCUCUUCUCCACAUAGGGCCCAUGAGGCCCAUUAAACCCCCCGGGGGGUUUCGGUAACCCCCCGGUACUCCGGUAUAUGCCCGAAACCACCCGAAACCAUUCCGGUGUCCGAACAUAGUCAUCCAAUAUAUCGAUCUUUACGUCUCGACCAUUUCGAGACUCCUCAUCAUGUCCGUGAUCAUAUCCAGGACUCCGAACUAUCUUCGGUACAUCAAAACACAAAAACUGAGAAUACCGAUCGUCACCGAACUUUAAGCGUGCGGACCCUACAUGUUCGAGAACUAUGUAGACAUGACUGAGACACGUCUCCGGUCAAUAACCAAUAGCGGAACCUGGAUGCUCAUAUUGGCUCCUACAUAUUCUAUGAAGAUCUUUAUCGGUCAAACCGCAUAACAACAUACGUUGUUCCCUUUGUCAUCGAUAUGUUACUUGCCCGAGGUUCGAUCGUUGGUAUCUCAAUACCUAGUUCAAUCUCAUUACCGGCAAGUCUCUUUACUCGUUACGUAAUGCAUCAUCCCGCAACUAACUUAUUAGCUACAUUGCUUGCAAGGCUUAUAGUGAUGUGCAUUACCGAGAGGGCCCAGAGAUACCUCUCCGACAAUCGGAGUGACAAAUUCUAAUCUCGAAAUACGCCAACUCAAUAUGUACCUUUGGAGACACCUGUAGAGCUCCUUUAUAAUCAUCCGGUUAUGUUGUGACGUUUGGUAGCACACAAAGUGUUCCUCCGGUAAACAGGAUCAGUUGCAUAAUCUCAUAGUCAUAGGAACAUGUAUAAGUCAUGAAGAAAGCAAUAGCAACAUACUAAACGAUCAAGUGCUAAGCUAACGAAAUGGAUCAAGUCAAUCACAUCAUUCUCCUAAUGAUGUGAUCCCAUUAAUCAAAUGAAAACUCAUGUCUAUGGCUAGGAAACACAACCAUCUUUGAUCAACGAGCUAGUCAAGUAGAGGCAUACUAGUGACACUAUGUUUGUCUAUGUAUUCACACAUGUAUUAUGUUUCCAGUUAGUACAAUUCUAGCAUGAAUAAUAAACAUUUAUCAUGAUAUAAGGAAAUAAAUAAUAACUUUAUUAUUGCCUCUAGGGCAUAUUUCCUUCAGUCUCCCACUUGCACUAGAGUCAAUAAUCUAGAUUACACAGUAAUGAUUCUAACACCCAUGGAGCCUUGGUGCUGAUCAUGUUUUGCUCGUGGAAGAGGCUUAGUCAACGGGUCUGCAACAUUCAGAUCCGUAUGUAUCUUGCAAAUCUCUAUGUCUCCCACCUGGACUUGGUCCCGAAUAGAAUUGAAGCAUCUCUUGAUGUGCUUGGUUCUCUUGUGAAAUCUGGAUUCCUUUGCCAAGGUAAUUGCACCAGUAUUGUCACAAAAGAUUUUUAUUGGACCCGAUGCACUAGGUAUGACACCUAGAUAGGAUAUGAACUCCUUCAUCCAGACUUCUUCAUUUGCUUCUUCCGAAGUAGCUAUGUACUCCGCUUCACAUGUAGAUCCCGCCACGACGCUUUGUUUAGAACUGCACCAACUAACAGCUCCACCGUUCAAUAUAAACACGUAUCCGGUUUGCGAUUUAGAAUCGUCCGGAUCAGUGUCAAAGCUUGCAUCGACGUAACCAUUUACGACUAGCUCUUUGUCACCUCCAUAAACGAGAAACAUAUCCUUAGUCCUUUUCAUGUAUUUCAGGAUAUUCUUGACCGCUCUCCAGUGAUCCACUCCUGGAUUACUUUGGUACCUCCUUGCUAAGCUUAUUGCUAAGCAUACAUCAGGUCUGGUACACAGCAUUGCAUACAUGAUAGAGCCUAUGGCUGAAGCAUAGGGAACAUCUUUAAUUUUCUAUCUAUCUUCUGCAGUGGUCGGGCAUUGAGUCUGACUCAACUUCACACCUUGUAAUACAGGCAAGAACCCUUUCUUUGCUUGAUCCAUUUUGAACUUUUUCAAAACUUUAUCAAGGUAUGUGCUUUGUGAAAUCCAAUUAAGAGUCUUGAUCUAUCUCUAUAGAUCUUGAUGCCCAAUAUAUAAGCAGCUUCACCGAGGCCUUUCAUUGAAAAACUUUUAUUCAAGUAUCCAUUUAUGUUAUCCAGAAAUUUUGUAUCAUUUCCAAUUAACAAUAUGUCGUCUACAUAUAAUAUCAGAAAUGCUACAGAGCUCCCACUCACUUUCUUGUAAAUGCAGGCUUCUCCAAAAGUCUGUAUAAAACCAUAUGCUUUGAUCACACUAUCAAAGCGUUUAUUCCAACUCCAAGAGGCUUGCACCAGUCCAUAAAUGGAUCGCUGGAGCUUGCACACUUUGUCAGCACCUUUUGGAUCGACAAAACCUUCAGGUUGCAUCAUAUACAACUCUUCUUCUAGAAAUCCAUUCAGGAAUGUAGUUUUGACAUCCAUUUGCCAUAUUUCAUAAUCAUAAAAUGCGGCAAUUGCUAACAUGAUUCGGACAGACUUAAGCAUUGCUACGGGUGAGAAAGUCUCAUCGUAGUCAACCCCUUGAACUUGUCGAAAACCUUUCGCAACAAGUCGAGCUUUGUAGACAGUAACAUUACCAUCAGCGUUAGUCUUCUUCUUGAAGAUCCAUUUAUUCUCGAUGGCUUGCCGAUCAUCGGGCAAGUCAACCAAAGUCCAUACUUUGUUCUCAUACAUGGAUCCCAUCUCAGAUUUCAUGGCCUCAAGCCAUUUUGCAGAAUCUGGGCUCAUCAUCGCUUCCUCAUAGUUCGUAGGUUCUCCAUGGUCAAGUAACAUGACCUCCAGAAUAGGAUUACCGUACCACUCUGGUGCGGAUCUUACUCUGGUUUACCUACGAGGUUCGGUAGUAACUUGAUCUGAAGUUUCAUGAUCAAUAUCAUUAGCUUCCUCACUAAUUGGUGUAGGUGUCACAGGAACCGGUUUCUGUGAUGAACUACUUUCCAAUAAGGGAGCAGGUACAGUUACCUCAUCAAGUUCUACUUUCCUCCCACACACUUCUUUCGAGAGAAACUCUUUCUCUAGAAAGGAUCCAAAUUUAUCAACAAAAGUCUUGCCUUCAGAUCUGUGAUAGAAGGUGUACCCAAUAGUCUCCUUUGGGUAUCCUAUGAAGACACAUUUCUCCGAUUUGGGUUCGAGCUUAUCAGGUUGAAGUUUUUUCACAUAAGCAUCGCAGCCCCAAACUUUAAGAAACGACAACUUUGGUUUCUUGCCAAACCACAAUUCAUAAGGCGUUGUCUCAACGGAUUUUGAAGGUGCCCUAUUUAACGUGAAUGCGGCCGUCCCUAAAGCAUAACCCCAAAAUGAUAGCGGUAAAUCAGUAAGAGACAUCAUAGAUCGCACCAUAUCUAGUAAAGUACGAUUACGACAUUCGGACACACCAUUACGUUGUGGUGUUUCGGGUGGUGUGAGUUGCAAAACUAUUCCGCAUUGUUUCAAAUGUAGACCAAACUCGUAACUCAAAUAUUCUCCUCCAUGAUCAAAUCGUAGAAACUUUAUUUUCUUGUUACGAUGAUUUUCCACUUCACUCUGAAAUUCUUUGAACUUUUCAAAUGUUUCAGACUUAUGUUUCAUUAAGUAGAUAUACCCAUAUCUGCUUAAAUCAUCAGUGAAGGUGAGAAAAUAACGAUACCCACCACGAGCCUCAAUAUUCAUUGGACCACAUACAUAAGUAUGUAUGAUUUCCAAUAAAUCUGUUGCUCACUCCAUAGUUCCGGAGAACGGUGUUUUAGUCAUCUUGCCCAUGAGGCAUGGUUCGCAAGUACCAAGUGAUUCAUAGUCAAGUGAUUCCAAAAGUCCAUCAGUAUGGAGUUUCUUCAUGCGCUUUACACCAAUAUGACCCAAACGGCAGUGCCACAAAUAAGUUGCACUAUCAUAAUCAACUCUGCAUCUUUUGGCUUCAACAUUAUGAAUAUGUGUAUCACUACUAUCAAGAUUUAAUAAAAAUAGACCACUCUUCAAGGGUGCAUGACAUAAAAUAUAUUACUCAUAUAAAUAGAACAACCAUUAUUCUCUUAUUUAAAUGAAUAACCAUCUCGCAUUAAACAAGAUCCAGAUAUAAUGUUCAUGCUUAAUGCUAGCAUAAAAUAACAAUUAUUCAGGUCUAAAACUAAUCCCGAAGGUAGAUGUAGAGGUAGCAUGCCGACCGCGAUCACAUCGACUUUGGAACCAUUUCCCACGCGCAUCGUCACCUCGUCCUUAGCCAAUCUUCGCUUAAUCCGUAGUUCCUGUUUCGAGUAGCAAAUAUUAGCAACAGAACCAGUAUCAAAUACCCAGGUGCUACUGCGAGUAUUAGUAAGGUAACAUGUAUAUCACAUAUACCUUUGUUCACCUUGCCAUCCUUCUUAUCCGCCAAAUACUUGGGGCAGUUCCGCUUCCAGUGACCAGUCAGCUUGCAGUAGAAGCACUCAGUCUCAGGCUUAGGUUCAGACUUGGGUUUCUUCUCUUAAGCAGCAACUUGUUUGCCGUUCUUCUUGAAGUUCCCCUUCUUCUUCCCUUUACCCUUUUUCUUGAAACUGGUGGUCCUGUUGACCAUCAACACUUGAUGCUCCUUUUUUAUUUCUACCUCCACAGCCUUUAGCAUCGCGAAGAGCUCGGGAAUAGUCUUGUUCAUCCCUUGCAUAUUAUAGUUCAUCACGAAGCUCUUGUAGCUUGGUGGCAGUGAUUGAAGAAUUUUGUCAAUGACACUAUCAUCAGGAAGAUUAAAUCCCAGUUGAAUCAAGUGAUUAUUAUACCCCAGACAUUUUGAGUAUGUGUUCACUAACAGAACUAUUCUCCUCCAUCUUGCAGCUAUAGAACUUAUUGGAGACUUCAUAUCUCUCAAUCCGGGCAUUUGCUUGAAAUAUUAACUUCAACUCCUGGAACAUCUCGUAUGCUCCAUGACGUUCAAAACCACGUUAAAGCCCCGGUUCUAAGCUGUAAAGCAUGGCACACUGAACUAUAGAGUAGUCAUCAGCUUUGCUCUACCAGACGUUCUUAACAUCAUUAGUUGCAUCUGCAGCAGGCCUGGCACCCAGCGGUGCUUCUAGGACGUAAUUCUUCUGUGCAACAAUGAGGAUAAUCCUCAAGUUACGGACCCAGUCCGUGUAAUUGCUACCAUCAUCUUUCAACUUAGCUUUCUCAAGGAACACAUUUAAAAUUCAACGGAACAACAACACGAGCCAUCUAUCUACAAUAACAUAGACAAGCAAAAAUACUAUCAGGUACUAAGUUCAUGAUAAAUUUAAGUUCAGUUAAUCAUAUUACUUAAGAACUCCCACUUAGAUAGACAUCCCUCUAAUCAUCUAAGUGAUCACGUGAUCCAAAUCAACUAAACCAUGUCCGAUCAUCAUGUGAGAUGGAGUAGUUUUCAGUGGUGAGCAUCAUUAUGUUGAUCAUAUCUACUAUAUGAUUCACACUCGACCUUUCGGUCUCAGUGUUUCGAGGCCAUAUCUGUAUAUGCUAGGCUCGUCAAGUUUAACCUGAGUAUUCCGCGUGUGCAACUGUUUUGCACCCGUUGUAUUUGACACGUAGAUCCUAUCACACCGAUCAUCACGUGGUGUCUCAAGACGAAGAACUUUCGCAACGGUACAUACUCAUACGUCUCCAACGUAUCUAUAAUUUAUGAAGCAUCCAUGCUAUAUUAUUAUGUGUUUUGAAUGUUUACGGCCUUUAUUGUACACUUUUAUAUUACUUUUGGGACUAACCUAUUAACCGGAGGCCCAACCCAUAUUGCUAUUUUAUUGUCUAUUUCAGUGUUUCGAAGAAAAGGAAUAUCAAACGGAAUGAAACCUUCGGCAGCAUGAUUUUUGGAACGAACGUGACCCAGGAAACUUGGAGUGCAAGCCAGGGGAGCAUCGAGGAAGCCACGAGAUAGGGGGGCACGCCCACCCCCUGGGCGCCCCCUCCCCUCUCGUGGGCCCCUCGAGGCUUCCCCGACCGACUUCUUUCGCCUAUAUAAGUCCACAUACCCUAAAACCAUCGAAUAUCAAGAUAGAUCGGGAGUUUCGCCGCUGCAAGCCUCUAUAGCCACCAAAAAACCUCUCGGGAGCCUGUUCCAGCACCCUGCCGGAGGUGGAAUCCAUCACCGAUGGCCAUCUUCAUCAUCCCGGCGCUCUCCAUGACGAGGAGGGAGUAGUUCACCCUCGGGGCUGAGGGUAUGUACCAGUAGCUAUGUGUUUGAUCUCUCUCUCUCUCUCGUGUUCUCUCUAUGGCAUGAUCUUGAUGUAUCACGAGCUUUGCUAUUAUAGUUGGAUCUUAUGAUGUUUCUCCCCCUCUACUCUCUUGUGAUGAAUUGAGUUUUCCCUUUGAAGUUAUCUUGUCGGAUUGAGUCUUUAAGGAUUUGAGAAUACUUAAUGUAUGUCUUGCCGUGCUUAUCUAUGGUGAUAAUGGGAUAUCACGUGAUCCACUUGAUGUAUGUUUUGGUGAUCAACUUGCGGGUUCCGCCCAUGAACCUAUGCAUAAGGGUUGGCACACGUUUUCGUCUUGACUCUCUAGAAACUUUGGGGCACUCUUUGAAGUACUUUGUGUUGAUUGAAUAGAUGAAUCUGAGAUUGUGUGAUGCAUAUCGUAUAAUCAUGCCCAUGGAUACUUGAGGUGACAAUGGAGUAUCUAGGUGACAUUAGGGUUUUGGUUGAUUUGUGUCUUAAGGUGUUAUUCUAGUACGAACUCUUGAAUAGAUUGAUCCGAAAGAAUAACUUUGAGGUGGUUUCGUACCCUACCAUAAUCUCUUCGUUUGUUCUCCGCUAUUAGUGGCUUUGGAAUGACCCUUUGUUGCAUGUUGAAUAGUUAUAUGAUCCAGUUAUGUUAUUAUUGUUGAGAGAACUUGCACUAGUGAAAGUAUGAACCCUAGGCCUUGUUUCCUACCAUUGCAAUACCGUUUACGCUCACUUUUAUCAUUAGUUACCUUGCUGUUUUUAUAUUUUCAGAUUACAAAAACCUAUAUCUACCAUCCAUAUUGCACUUGUAUCACCAUCUCUUCGCCGAACUAGUGCACCUAUACAAUUUGCCAUUGUAUUGGGUGUGUUGGGGGCACAAGAGACUUUCUGUUAUUUGGUUGCAGGGUUGUUUGAGAGAGACCAUCUUCAUCCUACGCCUCCCAUGGAUUGGUAAACCUUAGGUCAUCCACUUGAGGAAAAUUUGCUACUGUCCUACAAACCUGUGCACUUGCAGGCCCAACAACAUCUACAAGAAGAAGGUUGUGUAGUAGACAUCACAUACUCAGGGAGAACACUUAUACCUUGAAAUUUAGUGAGAGAUCAUCUUAUAAUGCUACCGUCAAUCAAAGCAAAAUAAGAUGCAUAAAGGAUAAACAUCACAUGCAAUCAAUAUAAGUGAUAUGAUAUGGCCAUCAUCAUCUUGUGCUUGUGAUCUCCAUUUCUGAAGCACCGUCAUGAUCACCAUCGUCACCGGCGCGACACCUUGAUCUCCAUCGUAGCAUCGUUGUUGUUUUGCCACCUAUUGCUUCUACGACUAUCUCUACCUCUUAGUGAUAAAGUAAAACAAUUACAUGGAGAUUGCAUUGCAUAUAAUAAAGCGACAACCAUAUGGCUCCUGUCAGUUGUCGAUAACUUGGUUACAAAACAUGAUCAUAUCAUACAAUAAAAUAUAGCAUCACGUCUUGACGAUAUCACAUCACAACAUGCCCUGCAAAAACAACUUAUACGUCCUCUACUUUGUUGUUGCAAGUUUUACGUGGCUGCUACGGGCUGAGCAAGAACCGUUCUUACCUACGCAUCAAAACCACAAUGAUAGUUCGUCAAGUUAUAGUGUUGUUUUAACCUUCUCAAGGACCAGGCGUAGCCACACUCGGUUCAACUAAAGUUGGAGAAACUGACACCCGCCAGCCACCUAUGUGCAAAGCAUGUCGGUAGAACCAGUCUCGCGUAAGCGUACGCGUAAUGUCGGUCCGGGCCGCUUCAUCCAACAAUACCGCCGAACCAAAGUAUAACAUGCUAGUAAGCAGUAUGACUUGUAUCGCCCACAACUCACUUGUGUUCUACUCGUGCAUAUACCAUCUAUGCAUAAAACCUGGCUCGGAUGCCACUGUUUGGGGAACGUAGUAAUUUCAAAAAAAAUCCUAUGCACAAACAAGAUCAUGGUGAUGUAUAGAAAUGAGAGGGGAGAGUGUUGUGCACGUACCCUCGUAGACCGAAAGCGGAAGCGUUAGCACAAUGCGGGUGAUGUAGUCGUACGUCUUCAUGAUCCAACCGAUCCAAGUACCAAACAUACGGCACCUCCGAGUUCAGCACACGUUCAGCUCGAGGACGUCCCACGAACUCCGAUCCAGUAGAGCUUUGCAGGAGAGUUCCGUCAGCACGACAGCGUGAUGACGGUGUUGAUGAUGCUACCGACGCAGGGCUUCGCCUAAGCACCACUACGAUAUUACCGAGGUGGAAUAUGGUGGAGGGGGGCACCGCACACGGCUAAGAGAUCAAGAGAUCAAUUGUUGUGCCUAGAGGUGCCCCUUCCCCCGUAUAUAAAGGAUCAAGGGGGAGGGGCGGCCGGCCAGGGGAGGGCGUGCCAGGGAGGAGUCCUACUCCCACCGAGAGUAGGACUCCCUCAUUUUGCUAGUUGGAGUAGGAGGGGGAAGGAAGGGAGAGAGGAGAGGAAGGAAAGGGGGGCGCCCCCCCUCCUUGUCCUAUUCGGACUAGAGGGGGAGGGGGCGCGCGGCCUGCCCUGGCCGCCCCUCCUCUUCUCCACUUAGGGCCCAUGAGGCCCAUUAAACCCCCCGCGGGGUUCCGGUAACCCCCGGUACUUUGGUAUAUGCCCGAAACCACCCGAAACCAUUCCGGUGUCCGAACAUAGUCAUCCAAUAUAUCGAUCUUUACGUCUCGACCAUUUCGAGACUCCUCGUCAUGUCCGUGAUCAUAUCCGGGACUCCAAACUAUCUUCGGUACAUAAAAACACAAAAACUCAUAAUAUCGAUCGUCACCGAACUUUAAGCGUGCGGACCCUACGGGUUCGAGAACUAUGUAGACAUGGCCGAGACACGUCUCCGUUCAAUAACCAAUAGCGGAACCUAGAUGCUCAUAUUGGCUCCUACAUAUUCUACGAAGAUCUUUAUCAGUCAAACCGCAUAACAACAUACGGUGUUCCCUUUGUCAUCGGUAUGUUACUUGCCCGAGAUUCGAUCGUCGGUAUCUCAAUACCUAGUUCAAUCUUGUUACCGAUAAGUCUAUUUACUCGUUACGUAAUGCAUCAUCCCGCAACUAACUUAUUAGCUACAUUGCUUGCAAGGCUUAUAGUGAUGUGCAUUACCGAGAGGGCCCGGAGAUACCUAUCCGACAAUCAGAGUGACAAAUUGUAAUCUCAAAAUAUGCCAACUCAACAUAUACCUUUGGAGACACCUGUAGAGAUCCUUUAUAAUCAUCCAGUUACAUUGUGAUGUUUGGUAGCACACAAAGUGUUCCUCCGGUAAACGGGAGUUGCAUAAUCUCAUAGUCAUAGGAACAUGUAUAAGUCAUGAAGAAAGCAAUAGCAACAUACUAAACAAUCAAGUGCUAAGCUAACGAAAUGGGUCAAGUCAAUCACAUAAUUCUCCUAAUGAUGUGAUCCCGUUAAUCAAAUGACAACUCAUGUCUAUGGCUAGGAAACACAACCAUCUUUGAUCAACGAGUUAGUCAAGUAGAGGCAUACUAGUGACACUAUGUUUGUCUAUGUAUUGACACAUGUAUUAUGUUUCCGCUUAGUACAAUUCUAGCAUGAAUAAUAAACAUUUAUCAUGAUAUAAGGAAAUAAAUAAUAACUUUAUUAUUGCCUCUAGGGCAUAUUUCCUUCAUGACCGUCGUAUUAACAUCAAUGCUAUUUGUCCGAUCUGAUACUAUUGUUAGGCGCUGAGUUAUUUCCUUCCUAUAGUGCUUCCAUAAUAACCUCCCACUGACCUCUCCACCAUCCCUUAUCUAUGCUUCUAGUAACUAACUGCUUCCAGAAAUUAUGUCAAUUGUUUUGGUAAGCUGUGAUUGCUUCCAACAAACAAAUACAAAAUAUUAUGCUUCCCACUAAUUGUGUAUUUGCUUCCAAUAAAUAGAUAAAGAAACUUUAUUGUUUCUGGAGAUGUUCUUUUUCUGCAGCGUAGACAUGGCAUGGAAAAUUGAAUUUUUUUUAAUGGAAACCUAUGCCAUGGAAACAUAUAUUAUUCAAAAAAAAUGUUUAAAAAAUAAAGAUACUUCAAAAAAUUGUUCCAACUGUAUAUAUUCUCAGAUCAAACUAGGACGUCUAAACUGAAAUUUUGGGUUGUAGGUAACAUGUAAUCUGAACGUUGGAAGCAUCAUGCAGUAACGGUGGAAGCAUACCUGAUUACUAUGUAAGAGAAGCUUUAUUUAUUUGGAAGCAUAGUGUGCUAUUGUUAGAAGCAUGAUUAGUGUCUAACUAAAACUUUGUUCAACUGCGUAGGAAGCAUAAAUGUUCUGUGAAACCUAUAAUGCUUGGUCAUUGUGUAACUAGAGAUUCUAUUUCGUGAGAAGGAAGUGAAGUAGAGAUAUGUUGGAUACAAAAUCAAGAAGCUAGUGCAUACAUUUUCCACGUGACAAUUGCAUGUGCUUCAAAAAAAAUGAGCAUGUGCUUCCAAAUAAGUUGAAAGUUGUUUCAAAUGUCGCAUGUACAUAUUUUCAACGACGAACUUUCUGAUUGAUGAUUUUUUUCCAUCAACAUUGCUUGUAAAUGAGAUCAUAAUUUUCUUCCAAAGAAAACAAAAUUAUCAUACAUUGGACACUGGUUCCAUACAAGAUACAACAAGAUAUUAACAUACAACAAGACAUGAACAUCGAAGCACAAUGGGAUGAAGCCCCCUACUGGAACAUGAGCACCAUCCAAAGAUAGAUGUAUUUGAGGAAUAGCGUCCACAAGAUCUCAGCAGCUACAAUGAGAUCAGACCAACGUUGCCUGAGUGUGGUGGUCAGAUAGGGCCACGGGGAAGACUUGACAUGCCUAAGUUGUCCUCGUGCACGGGCGAGGCUGGGGUAGGAAGCAAAGGUGAUACAUGAAGAAGCAGGGAAUCCCAUGUUAGGAAGCAUGCAUGCUUCAUGUGUGCUUUGUCGAUGUCGAACCCGUCCCUAGACGCUCCACUCCAGUUGCCAUCUUCUCCCUAGCUUUGACGACCUCUUUUUCUCCCCAAAAGAUGUGUGUCAACGUCGGGGAGCGGCAAGGGGCAGCGCGGUCGGCAUCGUCGAGUUGCCGACUUUAUUGACCUGCAGCAGUUGAGCGUUGUGUUACCAAUGUACUCCCAUGUCGAUUACUAGAACAACACCCACUGGGAUGCUCCAUGCUGCACGCCAUGGCCACCAUCCACCCGCAUGUCGCACACACCAUCCUCUCCCGGCCUUUGUAGAUCAUAUCUGGUGUCAUGGUGGAGAAUAAGAAUGCACCACGGAGAAGAUCGACGCAGGUGUUUGGGUUCAUGUCCCCGCUCAUGUAGGGGAGGUCGUUUCCAUGAGUGGGGAAGAGCACCACAAGGAAAGGCAGAGCAAUAGGUGGAGGAAGGCGUGAUUGUCGUGGAGGAGGAUGGCGGAGAACGGAGUUAGCCUAUUUGUUGGAUGUGGGAAGACGGACGCUGGUUCAAAUCAUUAAUGAAAAAAACUUAAUUUGAGGAUGGCAGUUAUGUGCAAUUUAAGGAGAUUAGAUGCGAGCAAACGAGCCAUUGGAUGUGGUACAAGAUGGACGGUGCAGAAGAUGUUUGAGCGAAUAAGAUGUAUCACACGACUGAUCAAAAGUGUUUCCCUUUUUGCAAAGUGCCCUCCAGCUUGUCCCUAGGUUGACGUCUUUUAAGUCAAUUUACCCCAUCUGUAGAACAUGAAAAAAGUUUGUAAUUUUUUAAAUAAAAAUUUGAUUUUUUUUAAGAAUUUGAAAUAAAAAUUGUGGAAGCUUAAAAAGUGUUCAUCAAUUCAAAAAAUGUUUAUCAAUUCAAAAAAGGUCACAAAUUAGAAAAAUAUAUUCACGAUAUAAAGAUAUUCAAGAAUUUGAAAAAUGUUUGAUAACUUCAAAAGUUUUCAAAAAUUCAAUAAUUAUUGGUGAAUUAAAAUGAUGUUCAUGAAUUUGUUAAAUUUUCAUGAUUUUCUAAAAAUAUUCAUGAAUAAAAGAAAUGUUCACAAAUUCAAAAAAGGUCAUGAAUUUUAAAAAUGUACACUAGGACAAAAGAGUUGUCGAACCUAGUUGCGAGUUGAUGGUUGACUUGAAAUUGGGUCAAGAAAAUGUCGGGGCCAGUUGCGAGUCAAGGAUGGACUUGCAACUAGGGCAAAAGAAAAGAUUCAAUGACCGAGUUGCAUGUCAAUGCUUGCUUCUACUUGCUUCGGUUUUCUCCAUUGUGGUAGCUCGUGACUUGAUGUCACUCACUGUAGCAGUGGUUCGAACGAUGCCACUUUCGAGCUCGUCAACUUGUUGGACACUAACACCAUUGACAUCGAUCAAGACCCGUUCACUGAUAUUGAUUACAAUGAAAUGGAGGGUGGCAUGGAUAAUCACGGUGGUGAAGAUGAAGUGGAGGAUAUAGAUGAGGGGCUGUAUGAGAAAGUGCAAGCAAAAAAGGCGCGAGAUCGAAGAAGUACACGAUGUUGGAAGACCAAAUCUUGUUCAAGGCUUGGAGUGCGGUGUCUCUUGAUGCUUGCACCGGUGCAUCUCAAACCGUCAAGAGGUAUUGGCAAAGAAUGGAAGAUCAAUACUUCCGCAUGAUGGGAAAGCAUCCCAAUAGGAUUUCACGCACCUUUCGGUCACUCCAAGGUCGUUGGGACGUGAUAAAGCCCAUUUGUAGCCGUUGGGCUGCUUGGUUGGAACAAGUUUGCAAUGCACUGAUAUGUCUCCAAUGUAUCUACAAUUUUUGAUUGUUUCAUGCUAUUAUAUUAUCUGUUUUGGAUGUUUAAUAGGCAUUUAUAUGCUAUUUUAUAUUAUUUUUCGGACUAACCUAUUAACCGAAGGCCCAGUGCCAGUUUCUGUAUUUUUUGCCUAUUUUAGAGUUUCGCAGAAAAGGAAUACCAAACGGAGUCCAAACAGAAUGAAACCUUCGCGAAGAUCUUUCCUGGACCGAAAGCAAACCAGGACACUUGGAGAUGAAGUCGGAGAAGCAACAAGGCGGCCAUGAGGCAGGAGGGCGCGCCCAGGGGAGUAGGGCGCGCCCCCAACCUCGUGGGCCCCUCGUAGCUCCCCUGACCUAGUUCCUUCGCCUAUAUAUACUCUUAUACCCUGAAAAGAUCCAAAAGAGCCACAAAACCACUUUCCACCGCCGCAACCUUCUGUACCCAUGAGAUCCCAUCUAGGGACCUUUUCCGGUGUCCUGUUGAAGGGGGAUUCGAUCACGGAGGGCUUCUACAUCAACACCAUUACCUGUCCGAUGAAGCGUGAAUAGUUUACCACAGACCUCCGGGUCCAUAGUUAUUAGCUAGAUGGCUUCUUCUCUCUCUUUGAUUCUCCAUACCAUGUUCUCCUUGAUGUUCUUGGAGAUCUAUUCGAUGUAAUGUUCUUUUGCGGUGUGUUUGCCGAGAUCCGAUGAAUUGUGGAUUUAUGAUCAGAUUAUCUAUGAAUAUUAUUUGGUUCUUCUCUGAAUUCUUAUAUGCAUGAUUUGAUAUCUUUGCAAGUCUCUUCGAAUUAUCCGUUUAGUUUAGCCUAUUCGAUUGAUCUUUCUUGCAAUGGGAGAAGUGCUUAGCUUUAGGUUCAAUCUUGCGGUGUCCUUUCCCAGUGAUAGUAGGGGCACAAGGCACAUAUUGUAUUGUUGCCAUCGAGGAUAAAAAGAUGGGGUUUUCAUCAUAUUGCUUGAGUUAAUUCCUCUACAUCAUGUUAUCUUACUUAAUGCGUUACUCCGUUCUUUAUGAACUUAAUACUCUAGAUGCAUGCUGGAUAGUGGUCGAUGUGUGGAGUAACAGUAGUAGAUGCAGAAUUGUUUCGGUUUACUUGACACGGACAUGAUGCCUAUGUUCAUGAUCAUUGCCUUAGAUAUCAUCAUAACUAUGUGCUUUUCUAUCAAUUCCUCGGCAGUAAUUUGUUCACCCACCGUAAUAUUUGUUAUCUUGAGAGAAGCCACUAGUGAAACCUAUGGCUCCCGGGUCUCUUUUCCAUUAUAUUGAAUCUCUUUUCCACACUAUUUAAUCUUGUUUACAUCUUACUAGUUUCUGAUCUACUAUUUUGUAAUCUUUUAGUUUCCGAUCUAUAAACCAAAAAUACCAAAAAUAUUUGCUUUCCCGUUUAUCUAUCCCUAUCAGAUCUCACUUUUGCAAGAGACCGUGAAGGGAUUGACAACCCCUUUAUCGCGUUGGGUGCAAGUUGUUGAUUGUUUGUGCGGUUACUUGUGCAUUGUCUCCUACUGGAUUGAUACCUUGGUUCUCAAAACUGAGGAAAAUACUUACGCUACUUUGCUGCAUCACCCUUUCCUAUUCAAGGGAAAACCAAUGCAAGCUCAAGAGGUAGCAAGAAGGAUUUUUGGCGCCGUUGCCGGGGAGAUUUACGCCAAGUCAAGAUAAGAUUUGAUCUCCCGUCAACUUGCCGAUUUCGGGCACCGUUGCCGGGGAGAUCUACGUCAAGUCAGGUCAUACCAAGUACUCAUCAUAAAAUCUUCUCCCUUGCAUUACAUUAUUCGCCAUUCGCCUCUUGUUUUCCUCUCCCCCACUUCUAAAAUGAUAUUCGAAAAGCUUUGCAUUUUCUUCGCCCCUCUUCCGUUCAUCUUCUUUCUGGUUGCUCGUUUGCUAGAUUGGUUUGUUGUCAUCAUGUCUUGAAGUUGAGGAGGUUAUCUUUGAAAGGGAUAGUAGUAAUGAUGGGGGGAACUUUGAUGCUUUUGAUAAUACGAAUCCUCAUGAACCUACUAUUCUACACACUAAAAAGUUCUGCAUUGGUAGUGGUAAUAUUAUUGGAAAAGGGGUUAUUCAAGAUUUCUUUACUUGUGCUAGUUCUUUUCCCACUAUGGGUGGGUCUAUUCUACAUAAAACUAGUAGUCUUGCGGACGCUAUAUCUUUGCUCGUAGUUGAAACUGAAAGACAAUUUACUCACAUGCAUCCUUGCAAACAAAGGAUUUUUCUUGAGUUUUCUAAUAUCGAGCAUUCUUCUGUUAAGGGCGCGGCUACCAUCUUUCUAGCACAUGAGUUUAGAUUUAUAAUAAAAGAGGCUAAUGAAAUUUUUGCACAUUAUAGGGCAGACACUGGUCGUCCUCCCAUAGAAGCAAUUCUCUUUAACCAAGAAGACAUAAUGCGUUUACGAUCCUUAGAUCAUGUUGCUUAUAAUGAAAAUCUAAGAAAGAGGGUCCCUACUGAUGUUCUAGUUGAUAGGAUUUCUGAACUUAAUGAUAAUGUUGCUAUUCAGAACAACGGGUUGGGUUUCUCUCUUGAACAAAGGCUCAUGACUUUUUGCCAAAAGAACACCUAUAAUGAUGAGUUGGUUGUACAAUAUGAAGGGCCGAAGGAGGAAACAAUUCCUCUCGAGCUUGAUCUUGGGGAUUUCUGUCCCAUUAAAUUUAGCCCUUUUGAUUACUUUUGCUUGCCACAAAGGAAACUUUCUGCGGAACGUAGGGAGUAUGAGAUGAUUUUUCGAGAUUUGCCCUAUCAUUAUUAUGGCAAUACCAAGAUCUAUUCUUGUUUUUAUGCCUAGCUAGGGGCGUUAAAUGAUAGCGCUUGUUGGGAGGCAAUCUAAUUUUAUUUUUGUUCUUUGCUUUUUGUUCCUGUUUAGUAAUAAAUAAUUCAUCUAACCUAUGGUUAGAUGUGGUUUUAUGUUUUAAUAGUGUUUGUGCCAAGUAGAACCUUUGGGAAGACUUGGGUAAAAGUUAAUUUGAUCUUGCUGAAAAAACAGAAACUUUUGCGCUCACGAGUUUAUUUGUAAUUUUUAACAGAAGAGUGAUUUUGAGUUGAUUAUUUUUGAAGAAGAUUAAUAGACAAAUUCCUCAUGUCUACCAAUUUAUUUCAGAAUUUUUGGAGUUACAUAAGUAAUUGAGAGUUACAGAUUACUACAUACUUUUCUGUUUUUGACAGAUUCUUUUUUCGCGUGUUGUUUGCCUAUUUUGAUGAAUCUAUGAGUAGUAUCGGGGGCUAUGAACCAUGGAGAAGUUGGAAUACAGUAGAUAUUACACCAAUGUAAAUAAAGAAUGAGUUUGCAACAGUACCUUAAAGUGGUGAUUUAUUUUCUUAUACUAAUGGAGCUCAUGAGAUUUUGUGUCGAGUGUUGUGUUGUGAAAUUUUCAAGUUUUGGGUAAGGAUUUGAUGGACUAUGGAAUAAGGAGUGGCAAGAGCCUAAGCUUGGGUAUUCCCAAGGCACACAAAGGUAAUAUUCAAGGACAACCAAAAGCCUAAGCUUGGGGAUGCCCCGGAAGGCGUCCCCUCUUUCGUCUUCGUCUAUCGGUAACUUUACUUGAGGCUAUAUUUUUAUUCACCACAUGAUAUGUGUUUUGCUUGGAGCGUCUUGUAUGAUUUGAGUCUUUGAUUUUUAGUUUUCCACAGUCAUCCUUUCUGUACACACCUUUUGGGAGAGACACGCAUGAAUCGUGAUUUAUUAGAAUACUCUAUGUGCUUCGAUUAUAUUUUUUGAGCUAGGCAAUAUUGCUCUAGUGCUUCACUUAUAUCUUUUUAGAGCACGGCGGUGGCUUUAUUUUACAGAAAUUAUUGAACUCUCAUGCUUUACUUAUAUUAUUUUGAGAGUCUUUUAUAACAGCAUGGUAAUUUGCUUGGGUUAUAAAACUAAUCCUAAUAUGAUGGGCAUCUAAGAUGGAUAUAAUAAAAACUUUCAUAUAAAGUUCAUUGAAUACUAUGAGAAGUUUGAUUCUUUAUGAUUGAUUUGAGAUAUGAAGAUGGUCAUAUUAGAGUCAUGCUAGUGGAGUAAUUGUGAAUUUGAGAGAUACUUGUGUUGAAGUUUGUGACUCCCGUAGCAUGCACGUAUGGUGAACCGUUAUGUGAUGAAGUUGGAGCAUGAUUUAUUUAUUGAUUGUCUUCCUUAUGAGUGGAGGUCGGGAUCGUGCAAUGGUUAACUCCUACCAACCCUUCCCCUAGGAGCAUGCGUGUAGUACUUUGUUUUGAUGACUUGUAGAUUUUUGCAAUAAGUAUGUGAGUUCAUCAUGACUAAUGUUGAGUCCAUGGAUUAUACGCACUCUCACCCUUCCAUCAUUGCUAGCCUCUCUUGUGCCGUGCAACUUUCGCCGGUACCAUAACACCCACCAUUACCUUCCUCAAAAUAGCUAGCAUACCUACCUAUUAUGGCAUUUGCGUAGCCAUUCCGAGAUAUAUUGCCAUGCAAGUUUCCACCGUUCCGUUUAUUAUGACACGCUCCAUCAUUAUCAUAUUGCUUUGCAUGAUCAUGUAGUUGACAUCAUAUGUGUGGCAAAGCCACCGUUCAUAAUUUUUUCAUAAAUGCCACUCUUGAAUCAUUGCACAUCUCGGUACACCGUCGAAGGCAUUCACAUAGAGUCAUAUUUCGUUCUAAGCAUUGAGUUGUAAUUCUUGAGUUGUAAGUAAAUAAAAGUGUGAUGAUCUUCAUUAUUAGAGCAUUGUCCCAUGUGAGGAAAGGAUGAUGGAGACUAUGAUUCCCCCACAAGUCGGGAUGAGACUCCAAACGAAAAAUUAAAAAAAGGGAAAAAUAAGAGGCCAUAAAAAAGGAGAGAAGACCCAAAUAAAAAAAUGAGAGAAAAAAAGAGAAGGGACAAUGUUACUAUCCUUUUUCCACACUUGUGCUUCAAUGUAGCACCAUGAUCUUCAUGAUAGAGAGUCUCCUAUGUUGUCACUAUCAUAUACUAGUUGGAAUUUUAAUUAUAAGAACUUGGCUUGUAUAUUCCAGUGAUGGGCUUCCUUAAAGUGCCCUAGGCCUUCGUGAGCAAGCGAGUUGGAUGGACAUCCACUUAGUUUCUUUCUGUGCUUUCAUACACUUAUAGCUGUAGUGCAUCCGUUGCAUGGCAAUCCCUACUCACUCACAUUUAUAUCUAUUGAUGGGCAUCUCCAUAGCCCAUGAGACUAUCUUCUCCUUUUUAUCUUCUCCACAACCACCAUUCUAUUCCACCUAUUGUGCUAUGUCCAUGGAUCACGCUCAUGUAUUGCAUGAAAGUUGAAAAAGUUUGAAAAUACUAAAGCAUGAAACAAUUGCUUAGCUGAAACCGGGGUUGUGCAUGAUUUAAAUAUUUUGUGUGAUGAAGAUAGAGCAUAGCCAAACUAUAUGAUUUUGUAGGGAUAGCUUUCUUUGGCCAUGUUAUUUUGAGAAGACAUGAUUGCUUUGUUAGUAUGCUUGAAGUAUUAUUGUUUUAUGUCAAUAAUAAACUUUUGUUUUGAAUCUUUCGGAUCUGAACAUUCAUGCCACAAUAAAGAAAAUUAAAUGGAUAAAUAUGUUAGGUAGCAUUCCACAUCAAAAAUUCUGUUUCUAUCAUUUACCUACUCGAGGACGAGCAGGAAUUAAGCUUGUGGAUGCUUGAUACGUCUCCUAUGUAUCUAUAAUUUUUGAUUGUUACAUGCUAUUAUAUUAUCUGUUUUGGAUGUUUAAUAGACAUUUAUAUGCUAUUUUAUAUUAUUUUUGGGACUAACCUAUUAACCGAGGGCCCAGUGCCAGUUUCUGUUUUUUUGCCUAUUUUAGAGUUUCGCAGAAAAGGAAUACCAAACGGAGUCCAAACAGAAUGAAACCUUCGCGAUGAUAUUUUUUGGACUAAAAGCAAACCAGGAGACUUGGAGAUGAAGUCGGAGACGCAACGAGGCGGCCACGAGGCAGGAGGGUGCACCCCCUACCUCGUGGGCCCCUCGUAGCUCCCCUGACCUAGUUCCUUCGCCUAUAUAUACUCUUAUACCCUGAAAACAUCCAGGAGAGCCACGAAACCACUUUUCCACCGCCACAACCUUCUGUACCCGUGAGAUCCCAUCUACGGACCUUUUCCGGCAUCCUGCUGGAGGGGAACUCGAUCACGGAGGGCUUCUACAUCAACGCCAUUACCUCUCGGAUGAAGCAUGAGUAGUUUACCACAGACCUUCGGGUCCAUAGUUAUUAGCUAGAUGACUUCUUCUCUCUCUUUGAUUCUCAAUACCAUGUUCUCCUCGAUGUUCUUGGAGAUCUAUUUGAUGUAAUAUUCUUUUGCGGUGUGUUUGCCGAGAUCCGAUGAAUUGUGGAUUUAUGAUCAGAUUAUCUAUGAAUAUUAUUUGGUUCUUCUUUGAAUUUUUUUAUGCAUGAUUUGAUAUCUUUGCAAGUCUCUUCGAAUUAUCGGUUUAGUUUGGCCUACUAGAUUGAUCUUUCUUGCAAUGGGAGAAGUGCUUAGCUUUGGGUUCAAUCUUGCGGUGUCCUUUCCCAAUGACAGUAGGGGCAGGAAGGCACGUAUUGCAUUAUUGCCAUCGAGGACAAAAAGAUGGGGUUUUCAUCAUAUUGCUUGAGUUAAUUCCUCUACAUCAUGUCAUCUUACUUAAUGCGUUACUCCGUUCUUUAUGAACUUAAUACUCUAGAUGCAUGCUGGAUAGCGGUCGAUGUGUGGAGUAAUAGUAGUAGAUGCAGAAUCGUUUCGGUCUACUUGACAUCGACGUGAUGCCUAUGUUCAUGAUCAUUGCCUUAGAUAUCAUCAUAACUAUGUACUUUUCUAUCAAUUCCUCAGCAGUAAUUUGUUCACCCACCGUAAUAUUUUCUAUCUUGAGAGAAGCCACUAGUGAAACCUAUGGCUCCCAGGUCUCUUUUCCAUUAUAUUGAAUCUCUUUUCCAUACUAUUUAAUCUCGUUUACAUCUUACUAGUUUCUGAUCUACUAUUUUGUAAUCUUUUACUUUCCGAUCAAUAAACCAAAAAUACCAAAAAUAUUUGCUUUGUUGUUUAUCUAUCUCUAUCAGAUCUCACUUUUGCAAGUGACCGUGAGGGGAUUGACAACCCCUUUAUCGCGUUGGGUGCAAGUUGUUGAUUGUUUGUGCGGUGACUUGUGCAUUGUCUCCUACUGGAUUGGUACCUUGGUUCUCAAAAGUGAGGGAAAUACUUACGCUACUUUGCUGCAUCACCCUUUCCUCUUCAAGGGAUAACCAAUGCAAGCUCAACAGGUAGUGUAAGUGCAUCUAGUGCCACCCCUAGUUGGUUUUGGAGUAUUGACGACAAAGUUGGUUGAGGGACUAAUGCGUUUGUGAGAAUUGCAGGAUAACGCAGGUAGUGUCCCUCAUUGAUUCGGUUUACCUACCGGAGAUGACCCCUAAAAAUGUAUGAAGACAUUGACGACAAUUGUUGUAUGAGAAGAUAUUCAUAUUGAAGACUAUGACAUGAGAAGACAUUGCGUGAAUACUAUGGAGCACGAAGACUGUGUGGUUUCGUUGUUUCCUUUUCUUCUUUGUUGAGUCAUAGGAACCACCGUACUGUUAAGUGGGGUCCAAGUGAACUAAGUCAGAGUGACUGAAGUGAUGCUCAACCCAAAUCCUAUGUCUUCGAGCGAAGACAAUGAGAGCAAAUCUUAUCCAGAGUUGGAUGAGUCAGCUUUGCUUGUAGCCCAAGUAAAGUUGCUGUGUGUGUUUGAAAUCUGACCGUUGGAACACGUGUCAGUUCCUUAGUGACCCAGGGUCAUUUCGGACAAAUCAGGUCGGGUUGCCUAGUGGCUAUAAAUAGCCCACCCCCUACACCAUAAAUUGGUGGCUGCUCAGAGUUAGUAUACGGCUUUUGUCGUUUGGGAGCAACCCACCUCGAAGCAUUUGAGAGAGAGAAAUCCUUGCGAGGACAAAGCCCAAACACCCAGAGCCAAAGAGUGUUAGGCAUCACUGAAGUCUUUCUGUCUGUGUGACCUGAAGACUUAUUACACUUGAGGACUGUGUAUCCUCCAGCCGGUUAGGCGUCGUGUUCUGAGCAUCCAAGAGUCAUUGUGGAUUGCCGGGUGAACGAAGUCUGUGAAGGUUUGGAAGUCUACCUUGAAGACUUACCAGAGUGAUUGGGCGAGGACUAAGUGACCUUAGCUCAAGGGGAAUAAGGUGAAGACACGGUCUUCUGAGUUGAAUCUCAGCCUCCCUAACCAGACGUACAGUUGUCACAGCAACUGGAAUUGGUCCAACAAAUCAUGUGUCUUCAACAAGCAACUAGUUCUAUCUCUUCCCUCCUUUACUUGAGUUUGUCUUUGUGAAGUCAUUGCUUAUCCUCUUAUCUGAUUGACUUCAUUGCUUGACUACUAUUGUUGAUUGGCUUCAUACUAUCUUCCAUCCUGAUCCUACUACCUAGCUGCUAUUAAUCUUCGAACGUUAAUGCUAUUGCAUUUUUGAUUAUGGCUUUCUUGUUGUAGUUUAUCUUCCGCUACAUAUCAAUUAGGUUGUUUCCAUUGUUUGUCUUCGAAACUUCCAUGUUUUGAAGACUUUCAUAAAAAUCACCUAUUCACCCCCCCCCCUCUAGUCGAUAACUAGCACUUUCAAUUGGUAUCAGAGCAAGGUACUCCCUUGUUCUAUGUGAUUCGGUUUAACCACCUAGAGUUUAGCUAUGUCGACUGCAGGAUUGAGGAAUGUAUCUUGCCCCACCUUUGACGGUCAUGAGUAUCCCCGGUGGAAAGCCAUGAUGAAGAAGCGACUCAUGGCUAUGGACAGCGAACUGUGGACCGUCACCGAUAUUGGUCUCACCGAUCUAUGCAAGAUGGCGGAGGCUGAUGACAUUCGUAAGUACACUCUACUGAACCUCACUGCGAAGGAUGUCAUCUGCUCCUGCCUGUCCCGAAAUCAGUUCAGGAACGUCAUGCACCUCAAUCACGCGAAGCUAAUCUGGGACCGACUUGCUGAAGUCUAUGAUAGUCAUCUUAAUCGUCAUGAUCCUUGGCUUGAUGACUACAAGGAGUCUCUUAAAGAGAUGACCUUUCCACCUGAACCGUCUUCAUCUUCACCAUGCCUCAUGGCAGGGGGUGCUAAGGUAACUGAAUGCUAUCUUUCUGAAACUAGUGAUGAUGAAUCAGGUGAUGAAUUUGGCCCCAGCUAUGUCAAACUUGCUUCCCUUGCCACUAAACAACAAAGAGCUUUGGAAAAGAUUCAAAACAUGCUUAGUAAGAGCGAUGAUAUGUUGGGCAAAGAAAUGGAUCAGUCAUAAUCUUUGGCUGAUAGUCUUCAGAGACUUCACUCCAAGUUUGACGCCCUUCAAGAUCAACAUAAUGCUCUCUUAUCUGAUCAUGAGAAACUUUCUUAUGAAUGUCUUCAAAGAGAGCAAGAUCUUGAAAAGAUAAGAGUGGAUAAUGAAGUUCUUCUGAAGAAGCACGAUUCAUUACUCGCUCAACAGAUCAGUCCCGCUCAGGAUGAAUUUGAACCACCAUGCUUAAAAUGCAUUGAGCGUGAUAACGCUACCUCUAUAGCUGAAUGUUCCACUGCUGCUACUGUUGCUCUGUCUUCAACUACUGAUGUGGUAACUAAACCCUCUUCUGAGGAUACCACUACUAUUGCUGAUGAAAAUGCUAGGUUGAAGACAUUGCUUGAAACAGGGAUGUAUAAAAGUCUGAAAGGGCAUCAGACACUUUGUGAUGUCCUCAAAAACCAGAUUCUGAACCGAAACCCUAGGAAAGAGGGUGUUGGGUUCAAGAGGAAAAUGAAUGCUGAUGGUUCCUACUGGAAGCCUGAGCAGUAUCCCAUAACCACAUGGGUUGCUGCAAAGGAACCUUUAGUGGAUCCAUCUACCUUAUCUGGAUAUACCUGUGCUAAUCCUAUUAUCAUUGAUGAAUCCUUUGAUGCAAACUAUGAACUGUUCAAAAACUAGAAUGGUGAAGUGUUUGCUAGGUAUAUUGGUGCUAACUGGAGGAAUGGACCUCCUAUGAAGAAGAUCUGGGUUCCCAAAAGCUGCCUUGAGAAUCUUCCAGUGAAUAUCAUCAUGACACCACCAGGGAAGAAGAAAAACCCCAGACCAAAGGCAUCAUAUGGUCCAACGGCUACUUACGGACACAGGACUCACUUGAGUCACCCUAACGCCAAUGUUUUGCAGGGAAAUCAUACUCAGACUCAUGAAUAUGAGCGUGUGUCUUCAAAUCGCUAUGUUCAUAGAACUAAGAACUUUUCUGCUUAUUCACAUGAGUAUCAUUCAUCUCCUGCAAGGCUAUUUGCUAGAGCUUCAAAGCCGAAAUUCUCAGAUGCUGCAGUUAGACUCAUUGCUUCUAAGCCACCCCUGAAAAUGUGGGUGGUGAAGAAGAAUUAACUUUCUUUUGCAGAAUGUGGUCUCCAGCCAGCAAUCAAUGGCAUCCGAUAUAAUUGUUGGGGACCUAAAACAUAAAGGGACGCAUGAUAAAAUGACUUACUAUGUAUUCCACAUAUGAAUCACUUACCUGUCAUACUGUGUGCUAACUUUCAUCUAUGUUGUGAUAAUCCAAGUGUGCAUCAAAUGCUUAUGCUUCACAACAUACAUUGUGAAGCCUAUCCUCCUAACUGCACUGUAGGGCAUGUCACCAAAAGCUUCAGAAUGGAUUAUUGACAGCGAAUGCACUAAUCAUAUGACUGGUGAUCAAAGUCUUCUCAUGGACUCAACCUUACGUCCAUCCGACAAGAGUCAAAUCACAUUUGCUGACACUGGUAAAGGCAAAGUAUUGGGUCUAGGUAGAGUUGCAAUCUCAAAGGAUCAACACAUGGAUAAAGUGAUGCUUCUUGAAUCCCUUGAAUUCAACUUAAUGUCUGUCUCAAUGCUUUGUGACUUAAAUAUGAUUGUGAUAUUUGGAAAAUAUCGUUGCCUUGUACUAAUGGAAUCUGACAAAUCUCUAGUCUUUGAAGGGUAUAGGAAAGGUGAUCUAUACAUGGUAGAUUUCUCAGCAGGUCCAAAACUUGCCGUAUGUCCUCUUGCAAAAGCUUCAGAAUGCUGGCUCUGGCAUCGAAGGAUGGGGCAUGCAGGCAUGAGGAACUUGCACACUCUCGUCAAAAAGAAGCAUGUCAUAGGCAUCGAAGGUGUCAAGUUCAAGAAAGAUCAUCUGUGUGGUGCCUGCGAAGCUGGAAAGAUGACAAGGGCCAAGCAUCCUUCGAAGACAAUCAUGACAACAUCUCAACCCUUCGAGCUGAUGCACAUGGACUUAUUUGGACCUACCCACUACUUCAUCCUCACAACAACUGCGUGUCUCUAUGGCUUUGUCAUUGUUGAUGACUACUCAAGAUACACAUGGGUGCACAUAAUUCUCUACAAGACUGAAGUACAAGAUGUCUUCAGACGAUUCGCCAAUCGAGCAAUGAACAAAUAUGGCAUCAAGAUCAAGCAUAUCAGAAGUGAUAACAGCACUGAAUUCAAGAACACCGGGCUUGAUCUUUAUCUGGAUACAAUGGGAAUCACUCAUGAAUUUUCUGCUCCAUACACACCUCAGCAAAA
rnacentral:lncRNA from 1 species